AUUGAACGCUGGCGGCAGGCCUAACACAUGCAAGUCGAACGAGUGGCGGACGGGUGAGUAAUGUCUGGGAAACUGCCUGAUGGAGGGGGAUAAAUCCUGGAAACGGUAGCUAAUACCGCAUACCAUCAGAUGUGCCCAGAUGGGAUUAGCUGGUAGGUGAGGUAACGGCGCACCUAGGCGACGAUCCCUAGCUGGUAUGCGAGGAUGACCAGCCACACUGGAACUGAGAAACGGUCCAGACUCCUACGGGAGGCAGCAGUGGGGAAUAUUGCACAAUGGGCGCAAGCCUGAUGCAGCCAUGCCGCGUGUAUGAAGAAGGCCUUCGGGUUGUAAAGUACUUUCAGCGGGGAGGCGUUACCCGCAGAAGAAGCACCGGCUAACUCCGUGCCAGCAGCCGCGGUAAUUC
rnacentral:rRNA from 1 species